rnacentral:rRNA from 1 species
GCCGGUGACUCUCGCGGUGGGGCCACACCCGUUCCCAUUCCGAACACGGAAGUUAAGCCCACCAGCGCCCAUGGUACUGCCCGGGCAACUGGGUGGGAGAGUAGGUCGUUGCCGGCU